GACGAACGCUGGCGGCGUGCUUAACACAUGCAAGUCGAACGGAAAGGCCCUGCUUUUGUGGGGUGCUCGAGUGGCGAACGGGUGAGUAACACGUGAGUAACCUGCCCUUGACUUUGGGAUAACUUCAGGAAACUGGGGCUAAUACCGGAUAGGAGCUCCUGCUGCAUGGUGGGGGUUGGAAAGUUUCGGCGGUUGGGGAUGGACUCGCGGCUUAUCAGCUUGUUGGUGGGGUAGUGGCUUACCAAGGCUUUGACGGGUAGCCGGCCUGAGAGGGUGACCGGCCACAUUGGGACUGAGAUACGGCCCAGACUCCUACGGGAGGCAGCAGUGGGGAAUAUUGCACAAUGGGCGGAAGCCUGAUGCAGCAACGCCGCGGGCGGGAGGACGGCCUUCGGGUUGGAAACCGCUUUCGCCUGUGACGAAGCGUGAGUGACGGUAAUGGGUAAAGAAGCACCGGCUAACUACGUGC
rnacentral:rRNA from 1 species